rnacentral:rRNA from 1 species
UUACCUCAGUAACGGCGAGUGAAGCGGUAACAGCUCAAAUUUGAAAUCUGGGUCUUUCAGGCUCCGAGUUGUAAUUUGUAGAAGAUGCUUCGGGUGCGGCUCCGGUCUAAGUUCCUUGGAACAGGACGUCAUAGAGGGUGAGAAUCCCGUAUGUGAUCGGUUGCUUGCGCCCAUGUGAAGCUCUUUCGACGAGUCGAGUUGUUUGGGAAUGCAGCUCAAAAUGGGUGGUAAAUUUCAUCUAAAGCUAAAUAUUGGCCAGAGACCGAUAGCGCACAAGUAGAGUGAUCGAAAGAUGAAAAGCACUUUGGAAAGAGAGUUAAACAGUACGUGAAAUUGUUGAAAGGGAAGCGCUUGCAACCAGACUUGCGCGUUGCCGAUCAUCUGGGGUUCUCCCCAGUGCACUCGGCCUCGCUCAGGCCAGCAUCGGUUUCGGUGGUGGGAUAAAGGCCUUGGGAAUGUAGCUUCUUUCGGGGAGUGUUAUAGCCCUCGGUGCAAUGCCGCCUACCGGGACCGAGGACCGCGCUUCGGCUAGGAUGCUGGCGUAAUGGUUGUAAGCGACCCGUCUUGAAACACGGACCAAGGAGUCUAACAUCUAUGCGAGUGUUUGGGUGUCAAACCCAUACGCGUAAUGAAAGUGAACGGAGGUGAGAACCCUUAAGGGUGCAUCAUCGACCGAUCCUGAUGUCUUCGGAUGGAUUUGAGUAAGAGCAUAGCUGUUGGGACCCGAAAGAUGGUGAACUAUGCCUGAAUAGGGUGAAGCCAGAGGAAACUCUGGUGGAGGCUCGCAGCGGUUCUGACGUGCAAAUCGAUCGUCCAAUUUGGGUAUCAGGGGCGAAAAGACUAAUCGAAACCAUCUAGUAGCUGGUUCCUGC